UCCGAGUUGACCCCGGCAGUCCCCCAUGAGUCCCCAGCCAUCCGAAGAUGCUGCUGGCAACAUGGAGCAAGGGUUGCGCUCGUUGCGGGACUUAACCCAACAUCUCACGACACGAGCUGACGACAGCCAUGCACCACCUGUCACCCGAUCCGAAGAGGGCACCAUCUCUGAUGCUUUCCGGGCGAUGUCAAGCCUUGGUAAGGUUCUUCGCGUUGCGUCGAAUUAAGCAACAUGCUCCGCCGCUUGUGCGGGCCCCCGUCAAUUCCUUUGAGUUUCAGUCUUGCGACCGUACUUCCCAGGCGGCGAACUUAACGCGUUAGCUUCGAAACUGAGGGCCAAGUUGCCCCCAACUUCCAGUUCGCAUCGUUUAGGGCGCGGACUAC
rnacentral:misc_RNA from 1 species